rnacentral:rRNA from 1 species
AGUGCUUGAUCAUGGCUCAGAUUGAACGCUGGCGGAAUGCUUUACACAUGCAAGUCGAACGGCAGCACGGACUUCAGUCUGGUGGCGAGUGGCGAACGGGUGAGUAACAUAUCGGAACGUAUCCAAUAAUGGGGGAUAACGAGUCGAAAGAUUCGCUAAUACCGCAUACGCCCUACGGGGGAAAGCUGGGGACCUUCGGGCCUGGCGUUAAUGGAGCGGCCGAUAUCUGAUUAGCUAGUUGGUGAGGUAAAGGCUCACCAAGGCGACGAUCAGUAGCUGGUCUGAGAGGACGACCAGCCACACUGGAACUGAGACACGGUCCAGACUCCUACGGGAGGCAGCAGUGGGGAAUUUUGGACAAUGGGCGCAAGCCUGAUCCAGCCAUUCCGCGUGAGUGAAGAAGGCCUUCGGGUUGUAAAGCUCUUUCCAAGGGAAGAAAACUUACCCCU